AUGGGUCAACUUAUAAACCCCGAAAAGUGUUCCAUCCUCUUCUCUGACAAUUGUACGGUGGUGGUGGCAGAUGAGGUAAAAAGCAUAUUGGAAGUGUCCCAACAAGUCUUUGAGCCCAAAUAUUUGGGCUUACCGGUGCCAGAAGGAAGAGUUCAUAAAGGACAAUUUGAAACUCUUCAGGAAAGAUUGGGAACAAGGUUGAUAGACUGGAGUGAACAGUUUGUUUCGAUAGGUAACAAGGAAAUUUUGAUUAAGGUUGUUGCUCAGGCCAUCCCUACAUAUGUUAUGAGUGUCUUCAGGCUGCCUGCAUCUGUUUGUGACGACUUGACAAGGAUGAUAAGGCGGUACUGGUGGGGAGUGGAGAAUGGUAAGAGGAAGAUGGCAUGGCUAAGUUGGAAGAAAAUGGUGGUUCCCAAAUCUAUGGGGGGCAUGGGCUUCCGUGACAUGAGAGCUUUCAAUCAGGCCCUGCUUGCUAAGCAGGCGUGGCGGUUGUUGGACUGUCCGGAUAGCCUGUGUGCGAGACUUCUGAGGGCCAAAUAUUACCCUCAUGACAAUCUUUUGGAUACAGUGUUCCCUACUAGCUCUUAA
rnacentral:rRNA from 1 species